rnacentral:rRNA from 1 species
CCUACGGGUGGCAGCAGUGGGGAAUAUUGCGCAAUGGGCGAAAGCCUGACGCAGCGACGCCGCGUGAGGGAUGAAGGUCUUCGGAUCGUAAACCUCUGUCAGCAGGGAAGAACGGUCACUGUGCUAAUCAGCAGUGAAUUGACGGUACCUGCAAAGGAAGCACCGGCUCACUCCGUGCCAGCAGCCGCGGUAAUACGGAGGGUGCGAGCGUUAAUCGGAGUUACUGGGCGUAAAGCGUUCGUAGGCGGUAUGUCAAGUCAAGGGUGAAAUCCCCGCGCUCAACGUGGGAACUGCCUUUGAUACUGGCAAACUGGAGUGUGGGAGAGGAUAGUGGAAUGCCAGGUGUAGGAGUGAAAUGCGUAGAGAUCUGGAGGAACAUCAGUGGCGAAGGCGACUAUCUGGCACAUAACUGACGCUGAGGAGCGAAAGCGUGGGUAGCAAACAGGAUUAGAUACCCCUGUAGUC